rnacentral:rRNA from 1 species
UCGGGAAUAUUGGGCAAUGGGCGAAAGCCUGACCCAGCAACGCCGCGUGAAGGAUGAAGGCCCUAGGGUCGUAAACUUCUGUCGAGAGGGAAGAAUGCGCGUGGGUGAAUAAUCUGCGUGUUUGACGGUACCUCCAAAGGAAGCACCGGCUAACUCCGUGCCAGCAGCCGCGGUAAUACGGAGGGUGCAAGCGUUGUUCGGAUUUAUUGGGCGUAAAGCGAGUGUAGGCGGUUUGAAAAGUCGGAUGUGAAAUCCCAGGGCUCAACCCUGGAACUGCAUCCGAUACUGUCAGGCUAGAAUUCCGGAGAGGGUGGCGGAAUUCCCGGUGUAGGGGUGAAAUCCGUAGAUAUCGGGAGGAACACCAGUGGCGAAGGCGGCCACCUGGACGGUGAUUGACGCUGAGACUCGAAAGCGUGGGUAGCAAACAGGAUUAGAUACCCUGGUAGUCCACGCCGUAAACGGUGAGAGCUCGUCGUAGUGGGUAUUGACCCCUGCUGUGACCAAGUUAACGCAUGAAGCUCUCCGCCUGGGAAGUACGGUCGCAAGACUA